rnacentral:rRNA from 1 species
UACGUAGGGGGCAAGCGUUGUCCGGAAUCAUUGGGCGUAAAGCGCGUGUAGGCGGUCCGGUAAGUCGGCUGUGAAAGUCCAGGGCUCAACCCUGGGAUGCCGGUCGAUACUGCCGGACUAGAGUUCGGAAGAGGCGAGUGGAAUUCCCGGUGUAGCGGUGAAAUGCGCAGAUAUCGGGAGGAACACCUAUGGCGAAGGCAGCUCGCUGGGACGUUACUGACGCUGGAGACGCGAAAGCGUGGGGAGCAAACAGG